GACGAACGCUGGCGGCGUGCUUAACACAUGCGAGUCGAACGAUGAAGCCUUAGCUUGCUUUGGUGGAUUAGUGGCGAACGGGUGAGUAACACGUGAGCAACGUGCCCAGGACUCUGGAAUAACCGCGGGAAACCGUGGCUAAUACCGGAUAGGUGCCGAGGCCGCAUGGUCUUCGGCUGGAAAGUUUUUGCGGUUCUGGAUCGGCUCACGGCCUAUCAGCUUGUUGGUGGGGUAAUGGCCUACCAAGGCGACGACGGGUAGCCGGCCUGAGAGGGUGACCGGCCACACUGGGACUGAGACACGGCCCAGACUCCUACGGGAGGCAGCAGUGGGGAAUAUUGCACAAUGGGCGCAAGCCUGAUGCAGCAACGCCGCGUGGGGGAUGACGGCCUUCGGGUUGUAAACCUCUUUUAGUAGGGAAGAAGCGCAAGUGACGGUACCUGCAGAAAAAGCACCGGCUAACUACGUG
rnacentral:rRNA from 1 species